rnacentral:tRNA from 1 species
AUAAAGAAUUAGUUAAUAAAUAACAUAAAUAUGUCAAAUUUAAAUUAUUGCCCAUAGUAAUAUUCUUUU